rnacentral:rRNA from 1 species
AUUACGUAUGACAUUCUCCGUCACAACUGGCGACCCGAUUACCUUAAGCCUGCCGGCCGUGGGUCGGGUCGCCUUCAUCAGCCGACGUCUUAUUGCAGUGAAAAUCCGUGAAGCGAUGUCCUCCUUUGCCAGCGAUGGCUUCGGACGGACAGGCGGACAACCAGCAGGAAACCGUCUUGCAUUUUGAAAUAUGGGAGGGGAUGUUAAGUGUAAUCUGGCGUCACUGGCCUACGGCCCGAAAGGGAAAAGUUUUUUCGUCGCGUGCGAUUGAGAAAUAAGUUAGUGCGUCUUCGCCCAAAAAGAGCGACAACAACUGCUCGUCCAGUUUGUUGUCGCUCCCAUAUUUCAAAAUGUAAGCGGGAUCCUCAGAGACUAUACGCCGAGCGCGAGCGAAGCUCGCGAACUUUUGACUUAUAACAUUUAACUUCUGACUUCAGUCACUCGUUAAUAGUUACUUGUCAAUUGUUCGCGCUUUCGGCGCGAUGAUAUAGUCCGAACUCACUGGCGACAGUGAGAAUCAACCAGAAAUGUGUUGAUCCAGAAACAGUUGGUCAAUUGUCAUAAGUCAUAUGUCGAUUGUCCAAUUUUGUUACUGUGUAACAAAAUUGUAGAUACCCUUGUAGUCCACGCCCUAAACGAUGCCUGUUUGCUGUUUCGAGUAUCGACCCUCGGAGCGGCGGAGCUAACGCGUUAAACAGGCCGCCUGGGAAGUACGAGCGCAAGCUUAAAACUCAAAGGAAUAGACGGGGACUCGCACAAGCGGUGGAACAUGAGGUUUAAUUCGACAGUAAGCGAAGAACCUUACCAGGGCUUGAAAUACUUCUGGAAAGCCGCCGGAAACGGUGGCCCUCUCUCAAGGACCGGAAGCACAGGUGCUGCAUGGUUGUCGUCAGCUCGUGUUUUGAAAUGUUCCCUUAAGUGGGGUAACGAGCGCAACCCUUACUGCGUGUUACAAGUGUCACGCGGAACUGCCCCCGCUUUUGCCUAGAAGGCAAAAGCGGACAAACGACUUACGAUUAAUGAUUUUUUUGUUAGUCAUAAGUUAUACGUUCGCUUUUGACCUUGCGGUCAAAAGCGGGGGAGGAAGGAGAGGAUGACGUCAAAUCAGCAUGGCCCUCUGAUGCCCUGGGCUACACUCGUGUUACAAUGGCCGGGACAAUGGGUUGCCAAGCCGCAAGGCGGAGCUAAUCCCACAAACCUGGUCUCAGUUCGGAUUGAGGGCUGCAACUUGCCCUCAUGAAGCCGGAAUCGCUAGUAAUCGCAGGUCAGCUACACUGCGGUGAAUACGUUCUCGAGUCCUGUACUCACAAUAAAAGCGCGCAGCAGUUUAGUUCUCUAAGCGGUUUAAAUCCGCUUCUCUCCUUCCGUCGGAGAGCAUAGCUAAGAAAUAGUGCCG